ensembl:snRNA U6 U6 spliceosomal RNA
GUUCACAUUGGCAGCACAUGUACUAAAAUUGAACCGAUAUGGAGAAGAUUGCCACGGUUCCUGUGCAAGGGUGACAGGGUGACACGCAGAGUCAUGAAGUGUUCCCUGUUUUU